rnacentral:rRNA from 1 species
UACGUAGGGUGCAAGCGUUGUCCGGAAUUACUGGGCGUAAAGAGCUCGUAGGCGGCUUGUCGCGUCGACCGUGAAACUUGGGGCUCAACCCCAAGCCUGCGGUCGAUACGGGCAGGCUCGAGUUCGGUAGGGGAGACUGGGAAUCCUGGUGUAGCGGUGAAAUGCGCAGAGUAUCAGGAGGAACACCGAUGGCGAAAGGCAGGGUCUCCUGGGGCCGAUACUGACGUGAGGAGCGAAAGCGUGGGGAGCGAACAGG